rnacentral:rRNA from 1 species
GACGAACGCUGGCGGCGUGCUUAACACAUGCAAGUCGAACGGAAAGGCCCUGCUUUUGUGGGGUGCUCGAGUGGCGAACGGGUGAGUAACACGUGAGUAACCUGCCCUUGACUUUGGGAUAACUUCAGGAAACUGGGGCUAAUACCGGAUAGGAGCUCCUGCUGCAUGGUGGGGGUUGGAAAGUUUCGGCGGUUGGGGAUGGACUCGCGGCUUAUCAGCUUGUUGGUGGGGUAGUGGCUUACCAAGGCUUUGACGGGUAGCCGGCCUGAGAGGGUGACCGGCCACAUUGGGACUGAGAUACGGCCCAGACUCCUACGGGAGGCAGCAGUGGGGAAUAUUGCACAAUGGGCGGAAGCCUGAUGCAGCAACGCCGCGUGCGGGAUGACGGCCUUCGGGUUGUAAACCGCUUUCGCCUGUGACGAAGCGUGAGUGACGGUAAUGGGUAAAGAAGCACCGGCUAACUACGUGCCAGCAGCCGCGGUGAUACGUACGGUGCGAGCGUUGUCCGGAUUUAUUGGGCGUAAAGGGCUCGUAGGUGGUUGAUCGCGUCGGAAGUGUAAUCUUGGGGCUUAACCCUGAGCGUGCUUUCGAUACGGGUUGACUUGAGGAAGGUAGGGGAGAAUGGAAUUCCUGGUGGAGCGGUGGAAUGCGCAGAUAUCAGGAGGAACACCAGUGGCGAAGGCGGUUCUCUGGGCCUUUCCUGACGCUGAGGAGCGAAAGCGUGGGGAGCGAACAGGCUUAGAUACCCUGGUAGUCCACGCUGUAAACGGUGGGUACUAGGUGUGGGGUCCAUUCCACGGGUUCCGUGCCGUAGCUAACGCUUUAAGUACCCCGCCUGGGGAGUACGGCCGCAAGGCUAAAACUCAAAGGAAUUGACGGGGCCCCGCACAAGCGGCGGAGCAUGCGGAUUAAUUCGAUGCAACGCGUAGAACCUUACCUGGGUUUGACAUGGAUCGGGAGUGCUCAGAGAUGGGUGUGCCUCUUUUGGGGUCGGUUCACAGGUGGUGCAUGGCUGUCGUCAGCUCGUGUCGUGAGAUGUUGGGUUAAGUCCCGCAACGAGCGCAACCCUUGUUCACUGUUGCCAGCACGUUAUGGUGGGGACUCAGUGGAGACCGCCGGGGUCAACUCGGAGGAAGGUGGGGAUGACGUCAAGUCAUCAUGCCCCUUAUGUCCAGGGCUUCACGCAUGCUACAAUGGCUGGUACAGAGAGUGGCGAGCCUGUGAGGGUGAGCGAAUCUCGGAAAGCCGGUCUCAGUUCGGAUUGGGGUCUGCAACUCGACCUCAUGAAGUCGGAGUCGCUAGUAAUCGCAGAUCAGCAACGCUGCGGUGAAUACGUUCCCGGG